AUACUUACCUGGCAGGGGAGAUACAUUGAUCACGAAGGUGGUUUUCCCAGGCGAGGCGUAUCCAUUGCACUCCGGAUGUGCUGACCCCUGCGAUUUCCCCAAAUGUGGGAAACUCGACUGCAUAAUUUGUGGUAGUGGCGGACAA
rnacentral:snRNA from 1 species